GUGUGAACUCUAUACAAAAGCUCACAACAGUCUCUCUCUCCCAUGCUCUCCCGCACCAGGACAACUUUAGCAGGCAACCCAUUGUGUCUGUUGAUGGACAGAGGGGCAGGCGAAUAAAGACAGCGCGAGUGUAGAUGGGCUGGUCCCAGAAAGGCAAGAAACUCCGAGAUUUUGGAAACGCUAACGGAACUUAACCCUUUGAGCAUGCGCACUGGGCUUUCCACCAGGGUCUUGAGACUCAGGCCGGAAGCUGCUCGCAGGUGCCUCGUUAGCGCAGUAGGUAGCGCGUCAGUCUCAUAAUCUGAAGGUCGUGAGUUCGAUCCUCACACGGGGCACAAUACUUUUGGCCGUUCCAGGUCUAAUUUCUUGCUAGAAGCGGAUUUAUUUCUGUUGUGGAGCUCUCGCAACGCAGAGAUUCUUGUUCUGUCUAGGCGUGGAAUGGCUUGGCGUGUUCUAGGAGGACUUGGAUCUUGUAAACUGGUAACCGCUGAGAUCCCGGACUGCCCGGGGGGUUGGGAGGCUGUACCUUUCUGGCUUGUUCAGGGUCGGGUGUGCUGCGAGGGGCGAGCCGAGCCGGGCAGAAGGCGGUGGGUGCCCACCCAGGCACGCGAUGUCUUUAGGGGUCUCAGCCACUUCUGCAGGCAGCAGCCGUGCGACCACAGGUCAAAUAGCAAGUCACAUAGGGAUGUGUCGGAUAUCACCCAUCCCCACCUUCCGAACUGCUA
rnacentral:lncRNA from 1 species